rnacentral:ncRNA from 1 species
CCGUAUCGGUUCCCGUAACAAGGGGAUUAAAAGGGAACGCCGUGAAAGUCGGCGACAGUUCCCGCUGCUGUGAGUCUCGCCCGGAGGUCGUCUCCGGGAUGUGCUUUCAGGAAUACAGCCACUGGUUUUUGCCGGGAAGGCCCUGGAAGCGAGACGAGUCAGAAGACCUGCCGGUAUCG